rnacentral:hammerhead_ribozyme from 1 species
AUUCAGCUGACGAGUCCCAAAUGGGACAAAACACUUAUCUUGGAU